GACGAACGCUAGCGGCGUGCUUAACACAUGCAAGUCGAACGGAAAGGCCCCUUCGGGGGUACUCGAGUGGCGAACAGGUGAGUAACACGUGAGUAACCUGCCCUUGACUUCGGGAUAACUUCAGGAAACUGGGGCUAAUACCGGAUAGGAAUCCUUGCUGCAUGGUGGGGGUUGGAAAGCUUCGGCGGUUUUGGAUGGACUCGCGGCUUAUCAGCUUGUUGGUGGGGUAGUGGCUUACCAAGGCUUUGACGGGUAGCCGGCCUGGGAGGGCGACCGGCCACAUUGGGACUGAGAUACGGCCCAGACUCCUACGGGAGGCAGCAGUGGGGAAUAUUGCACAAUGGGCGGAAGCCUGAUGCAGCAACGCCGCGUGCGGGAUGACGGCCUUCGGGUUGGAAACCGCUUUCAGCAGGGGCGAAGCUUGUGGUGACGGUACCUGCAGAAGAAGCACCGGCUAACUACGUG
rnacentral:rRNA from 1 species